AAACAAAGAAGGAAAGAAACAGAGAGCAAUUCGAAACAGGGGAAAGGAAAGAAGAAAAGAAAAAGAAAAGGAAAAACUAGGGUUUUGAAGCUUAAAGCUUUAAUUGCUAAUAUCACACCCGAGGCAUCCACGAAGAAAGGAAAAGAAAAAGUGGACGAGGAGUAGACACGAGGAUCACGAUUAGGUACAGAAAUUUUUGAAGAGUUGAAUUUGAGAUUGCAAGUUUUCAUCUCAUCACAUCUUCAAGCAACAACAUGGUAUAUUUUAAAGUUUUUGAUUAGAAUGGCAUGUACUUAGGAAAAAUAUUAGGUAUGUUCCAAGUAUUUUUUUUUAUGUUCAAUUAUAUUAGUAAUUAGCCAAGAAUUAAUUUGGUACCAAAUGUAAUAUUCCUAUAUCAGGUUCCUUAAGUCGAACAUGGUAUAGGGGUGUUACACGAAGCGUGACACCCAUGGUAUAAUGAAUAGAAUCUAAGGGAUGUAUCCGCCAAAGUCAAGGAUAAUGAAGUUCGCGGGUAAGACUUAGGUAAAAGAGGGUUUACUCACUAAGUUCUCAUGAAUUUACCUCUAUGCUUUUGUGUCACAUGUAAGUUGAGAUGGGACUAUGCCAGGAGGGACGAUGCUCAGGUUUCGUCAAAGGAUAGGCGAGUUGGGCCGUUAUGCAUAUAGAGCAAAUGUUGGGAUGGCGUGAUCAACAUUUAAAAAUUUAAUGAAACGAGUCGAGGAAUUUGCUUGUAAGUUCCUGUAGCGGUUACAAAAUAGGUUGAUGAACCCAUUGAAGUUAGUAUGCCCACAUAGAAGCAGAAUGAAUAGAACAAUGUAACUAAGUCAUGAUUAUUCUCUUUUAACCCCACAAAAAUUGUAAAGUCCAUUGUAACCAACGUAAU